rnacentral:rRNA from 1 species
CCUACGGGUGGCUGCAGUGGGGAAUUUUGGACAAUGGGGGCAACCCUGAUCCAGCCAUGCCGCGUGAGUGAAGAAGGCCUUCGGGUUGUAAAGCUCUUUUGGCCGGGAAGAAAGUGCCUUGCCUAAUACGCGAGGUAUUUGACGGUACCGGCAGAAUAAGCACCGGCUAACUACGUGCCAGCAGCCGCGGUAAUACGUAGGGUGCGAGCGUUAAUCGGAAUUACUGGGCGUAAAGCGUGCGCAGGCGGUUCGUUAAGUCUGAUGUGAAAGCCCCGGGCUCAACCUGGGAAUGGCAUUGGAAACUGGCGAGCUGGAGUAUGGCAGAGGGGGGUGGAAUUCCACGUGUAGCAGUGAAAUGCGUAGAGAUGUGGAGGAACACCGAUGGCGAAGGCAACCCCCUGGGCCAAUACUGACGCUCAGGCACGAAAGCGUGGGGAGCAAACAGGAUUAGAUACCCUAGUAGUC